AUUGAACGCUGGCGGCAUGCCUUACACAUGCAAGUCGAACGGCAGCACGGGAGCAAUCCUGGUGGCGAGUGGCGAACGGGUGAGUAAAGUAUCGGAACGUGCCCAGUCGUGGGGGAUAACGUAGCGAAAGUUACGCUAAUACCGCAUACGAUCUAUGGAUGAAAGCGGGGGAUCGCAAGCCCUCGCGCGAUUGGAGCGGCCGAUAUCAGAUUAGGUAGUUGGUGGGGUAAAGGCUCACCAAGCCGACGAUCUGUAGCUGGUCUGAGAGGACGACCAGCCACACUGGGACUGAGACACGGCCCAGACUCCUACGGGAGGCAGCAGUGGGGAAUUUUGGACAAUGGGCGAAAGCCUGAUCCAGCCAUGCCGCGUGCAGGAUGAAGGCCUUCGGGUUGUAAACUGCUUUUGUACGGAACGAAAAGGUUUGGCCUAAUAAGCUGAGCUCGUGACGGUACCGUAAGAAUAAGCACCGGCUAACUACGUGCCAGCCGCCGCAGUAA
rnacentral:rRNA from 1 species